rnacentral:rRNA from 1 species
CACGGCGAGACCGCGGACGGCUCAUUAAAUCAGUCGUGGUCCAUAUGGGCCAGUGUUGAUCCUACUUGGAUAACUGUGGUAAUUCCAGAGCUAAUACAUGCAACUCUUAUUCUGAUGUAUGGUCGGUCGGUUCUCUCUCGUAGGGUCCGAUUGUUCUCCGCUGACGAAUGCUUUUAUUAGACCAAACCGCUGGGGAUGUGGGUCUUUCUUCCGAGAGAUUCACGUUUGACCCGACAUAUGGUGACUCUGAAUAACCUUUUGACGAGCGCACGUAUCCCUCUUAUGAGCGGAACGGCGCUGCCACUUUCGAGUGUCUGCCUUAUCAGCUAUCAAUCGUUCGUUAUGCGCGACCGAUGGCUUUGACGGGUAACGGGGAAUCAGAGUUCGAUUCCGGAGAGGCAGCCUGAGAGACGGCUACCACGUCCAAGGACGGCAGCAGGCACGCAAAUUACCCAAUCCCAGUACCUGGGGGAGGUAGUGACGAAAUCUAACGAUGCGGGCGCCCUUUCUGGGGCCCCGCAAUCGGAAUGGGCACUUUCUAAACAACCUGUUGAGAACCUACUGAAGGGCAAGUCUGGUGCCAGCAGCCGCGGUAAUUCCAGCUUCAGCAGCAUCUAUUAAAGUUGCUGCGGUUAAAAGGCUCGCAGUUGAAUGUCAGUAACGGGCGCAGUGAAGGUGGACGCUGGGGUGUGGGAAUACAAGGCGUGUGUGUGUCUCGGGUUUAGCUGUUCCGCUCCCCUUUGUUGAGGAAAAGUUCGGCGGCUCUUGCGCGCAUGGGUCUCUCACAAACCCCCGUCCGUAACCAGCCUCCUCGCUCGCGUACAUAUCGAAUUCGUAAACAAAUGGAGUUGCGUUGCGGCUUGCGUCCGUUUCGAUGGGCGCUUGUUUGCGCGCGUUAAGGCUCUUUCGGGUUCACAGUCACCUUGAGUAAAUCAGAGUGCUCAAAGCAGUCGUAGGGGUCUCGUAUCCCGUAAACAGUCUUGACGGACUGACUUGGUUUUGCAUGGCAUGUCGGAAGACGACGUCGUGUGUUGGCUCAGGAAUGUAACCAGUGGUAAAAGCCAGCACCGACGUAAUGAUUAACAGGAACGGUCGAGGGCAUUGGUAUUGCGAGGCGAGAGGUGAAAUUCUAUGACCCCCGCAAGACCUCCUGAAGCGAAAGCGUCUGCCAUGGACGUUUCAUAAUCAUAACGACCAGGCGUGGAGCUGCGGCUUAAUUUGACUCAACACGGGCCACCUCACCAGGCCAGCACUCUUGUAUGAUUGACAGAUUAAGAGCUCUUUCUCGAUUCAGUGGAUGGUGGUGCAUGGCCGUUCUUAGUUGGUGGAGUGAUCUGUCUGGUUAAUUCCGAUAACGAACGAGACUCUCCCCUGCUAACUAGUCGGUUGGAUCUUGCUCGGUGAGUCGUGUGCCGGGAACACUCGGGCGUCCGUGGCGCGUACGGGAAUCUGUGGUGGUCUGGUGUGUCGUUGGUGUUUGUGUAGCUACGGUUGCGCAUCAUCUCGGCGUGCUUUUCCGCUCUCUUUUUCAAGCGUGUUCACGGGUUUCGUUCGAACCUCGGGCCACACACUCCAAGUCCGCCGCUUAUGCUAUAACUCUUCUUAGAGGGAUUCACGGUACUGAAGCCGUCAGAAACUGAGAGCAAUAACAGGUCUGUGAUGCCCUUAGAUGCUCUGGGCCGCACGCGCGCUACAAUGCCGGGCACAGCAGGUAUCUCUCCCGCUCCGACAGGAGCGGGUAACCCUCUGAAAGCCCUUGGUUUUUCUCUCGUGUCUCUGAGAUACGAUCGGCGUGCUUGGGCCUGGGGCUUGAAAUUCUUUCCCACAAACGAGGAAUGCCUAGUAGCGGCGGGUCACUGAGCCCGCUGUGACUCAGUCCCUGCCCUUUGUACACACCGCCCGUCGCUACUACCGAUUGGGUGUACCAGUGAGAGCCUUGGACUGGCGUCCGUUGCCUUCGGGCAAGCGGUUUUCGACGGAAAGAGGUUCGAACUGGUGCACUUAGAGGAAGUAAAAGUCGUACAAGUUUCCGUAGUGAACUGCGA